rnacentral:rRNA from 1 species
GAUGAACGCUGGCGGCGUGCCUAAUACAUGCAAGUCGAGCGAAUGGAUUAAGAGCUUGCUCUUAUGAAGUUAGCGGCGGACGGGUGAGUAACACGUGGGUAACCUGCCCAUAAGACUGGGAUAACUCCGGGAAACCGGGGCUAAUACCGGAUAACAUUUUGAACCGCAUGGUUCGAAAGUGAAAGGCGGCUUCGGCUGUCACUUCUGGAUGGACCCGCGUCGCAUUAGCUAGUUGGUGAGCUAACGGCUCACCAAGGCAACGAUGCGUAGCCGACCUGAGAGGGUGAUCGGCCACACUGGGACUGAGACACGGCCCAGACUCCUACGGGAGGCAGCAGUAGGGAAUCUUCCGCAAUGGACGAAAGUCUGACGGAGCAACGCCGCGUGAGUGAUGAAGGCUUUCGGGUCGUAAAACUCUGUUGUUAGGGAAGAACAAGUGCUAGUUGAAUAAGCUGGCACCUUGACGGUACCUAACCAGAAAGCCACGGCUAACUACGUGCCAGCAGCCGCCGUAA